GAUGAACGCUGGCGGCGUGCUUAACACAUGCAAGUCGAACGGGAAUUAUUUUAUUGACCCUUCGGUCGAUUUAAUUUAAUUCUAGUGGCGGACGGGUGAGUAACGCGUGGGUAACCUGCCUUAUACAGGGGGAUAACAGUCAGAAAUGGCUGCUAAUACCGCAUAAGCGCACAGAGCUGCAUGGCUCAGUGUGAAAAACUCCGGUGGUAUAAGAUGGACCCGCGUUGGAUUAGCUGGUUGGUGGGGUAACGGCCCACCAAGGCGACGAUCCAUAGCCGGCCUGAGAGGGUGAACGGCCACAUUGGGACUGAGACACGGCCCAGACUCCUACGGGAGGCAGCAGUGGGGAAUAUUGCACAAUGGGGGAAACCCUGAUGCAGCGACGCCGCGUGAAGGAAGAAGUAUCUCGGUAUGUAAACUUCUAUCAGCAGGGAAGAUAGUGACGGUACCUGACUAAGAAGCCCCGGCUAACUACGUG
rnacentral:rRNA from 1 species